ACACUUUCAGUGACCAAAAGAACUUCCUGACCUAUGGAGGCGUCGGUGGUUACUCUGGCAUCGGCAACAAUGGCCUCCCGUUUGGUGGUCUAGGGGGUGCCAUUGGGGGAGGAGGCCUUGGUGGCGGUCUUGGUGGUGGUCUUGGUGGUGGCCUCGGUGGCGGUACGGGAAUUGGUGGAGGACUAGGUGGACUGGGAGGUCCUGGAGGUGGAUUCGGUGGCAUUGGUGGAACCACUGGCGGUCUUGGCGGUGGUCUCGGGGGUGGACUCGGUGGUGGUCUCGGUGGCGGUGUCGGUGGAGCUUCUGGUGUUACUUAUCCUUGAAUAGUUAUUUAGUUAUGCUUGUUGAUUUUUACUCAAAAAGUUCUUGCAGUUUAAAGUUUGUUUGAUUAAUAUUGUGUCAAGAGAUGUAGUUGUUUAGUUGUUGCUUAAUGACCUUAUAGCAUUUGGUUGUGUUUGGUUUUCUAUUUAAAUUUGGUUGUGAUUAUCUUUUGUUUGUUCACUUUUGUCAGUAUAAAACAAACAUCUGCUUUAGCUGUUC
rnacentral:lncRNA from 1 species